GCCAAACAAAGCAAAGGGUUGUAUUUAUAGUAAAACCCAUCCACCGUUGAUUAAGCGGGUUAAUCCAACGGUCCAAGAGCGACUAAGAUACAUAGGCUGAAUAUUGGGCUCGGUUUAAGUAGGCCUUCUAGGUAUAUUAAUAAUGGAUCAUCUAUUGAUUCCAUAUUGGGCCUUUUUCAUCACUGCCUAUUAGUUGGACUGAUCAAAUGGUAUCACA
rnacentral:lncRNA from 1 species